GAUGAACGCUGGCGGCGUGCCUAAUACAUGCAAGUCGAGCGAACAGACGAGGAGCUUGCUCCUCUGACGUUAGCGGCGGACGGGUGAGUAACACGUGGAUAACCUACCUAUAAGACUGGGAUAACUUCGGGAAACCGGAGCUAAUACCGGAUAAUAUAUUGAACCGCAUGGUUCAAUAGUGAAAGACGGUUUUGCUGUCACUUAUAGAUGGAUCCGCGCCGCAUUAGCUAGUUGGUAAGGUAACGGCUUACCAAGGCAACGAUGCGUAGCCGACCUGAGAGGGUGAUCGGCCACACUGGAACUGAGACACGGUCCAGACUCCUACAGGAGGCAGCAGUAGGGAAUCUUCCGCAAUGGGCGAGAGCCUGACGGAGCAACGCCGCGUGAGUGAUGAAGGUCUUCUGAUGGUAAAGCUCUGUUAUUAGGGAAGAACAAAUGUGUAAUUAACUAUGCACGUCUUGACGGUACCGAGUCAGAAAGCCACGGCUAACUACGUG
rnacentral:rRNA from 1 species